UAAAUGUCUUUUGCCCCUAUCUGAUAAUUUUAGACUAAAUAUAUAAAAUAUCUUAUUGCUUGAAAGUUUUUAAAUCAGCAUAUAUUUGUUUUGUUUCAGAGUGGUUGUAUGACGCAAUGAAAGUGAUUACGCAAUAUGGCACCUAAUGUUAAUUACUGGAUCUGCAAUUAAUAAAAGUUGAAUGUAAUUGGUCAUAAAUGUUUUUGAAGUAUCAGGAUAUUUGCGUUUCUUAAACCAAAAGCGCUUUAUACCUUAAACAAGAAGCGCUUUAUACCUUAAACCUAACCCCAAUCUACAGAUCUUGAGAUAUAGAUUAUCAAGAGGGAUAUUUCUAUGGAAAAUGUAAUAUAAAUUAUAUCUAUGUUAUUAAUAUAUGUACAUUUAUGUGUGUAAUACGUAAUAAAUAAAGCUAUGUAAUUGAA